CAGAGUUCGUGCCCUCACGGGUAGAUCUCCCACCCUUGCGUAUUCAUACCUUUGUUGCUUUGGCAGGCCGCCUGGGCUUCGCGCCUGGCCACCGGCUCCCGGGCUGGUGCGUGCCUGCCAGAGGACCUCCAAACUCCAGUUAUCAGUGUUGUCUGAGUACGAUACAAUCGUUA
rnacentral:misc_RNA from 1 species